UACGUAGGGUGCAAGCGUUGUCCGGAAUUAUUGGGCGUAAAGAGCUCGUAGGCGGUUUGUCGCGUCGAAUGUGAAAACCCGGGGCUCAACCCCGGGCCUGCAUUCGAUACGGGCAGACUAGAGUUCGGUAGGGGAGUCUGGAAUUCCUGGUGUAGCGGUGAAAUGCGCAGAUAAUCAGGAGGAACACCGGUGGCGAAGGCGGGACUCUGGGCCGAUACUGACGCUGAGGAGCGAAAGCGUGGGGAGCAACAGG
rnacentral:rRNA from 1 species